rnacentral:rRNA from 1 species
GUCGAGCAGGGUCGAAAGACGGACUUAGUGAUCCGGUGGUUCCGCAUGGAAGGGCCAUCGCUCAACGGAUAAAAGCUACCCCGGGGAUAACAGGCUUAUCUCCCCCAAGAGUUCACAUCGACGGGGAGGUUUGGCACCUCGAUGUCGGCUCAUCGCAUCCUGGGGCUGUAGUCGGUCCCAAGGGUUGGGCUGUUCGCCCAUUAAAGCGGUACGCGAGCUGGGUUCAGAACGUCGUGAGACAGUUCGGUCCCUAUCCGUCGUGGGCGUAGGAAAUUUGAGAGGAGCUGUCCUUAGUACGAGAGGACCGGGAUGGACAUACCUCUGGUGUACCAGUUGUCGUGCCAACGGCAUAGCUGGGUAGCUAUGUGUGGACGGGAUAAGUGCUGAAAGCAUCUAAGCAUGAAGCCCCCCUCAAGAUGAGAUUUCCCAACUUCGGUUAUAAGAUCCCUCAAAGAUGAUGAGGUUAAUAGGUUCGAGGUGGAAGCAUGGUGACAUGUGGAGCUGACGAAUACUAAUCGAUCGAAGACUUAAUCAAAA